GAGAGCUGUCCUUCAUGACAACAGAACCCAUAACAACCAUGACUUUUAUCACCUUCUUCAUCUGGACACUUGCCCUCUGUCUCCAAGAGUCCAGAGGCCAGGUCACUGUGACUCAGACUCCUGCAGUGAAAACUAUUUCAGUGGGUGACUUAGUCAGUCUCAGCUGCAAGACCAGCAGUGCAGUAUACAGUGAUGGAUAUGGACAGAGGUUGGCCUGGUAUCAACAGAAACUCGGAGAAUCUCCUAAACUCCUUACAUAUUUAAUUAGUACCCGUAACUCUGGGAUACCAUCUAGAUUCAGUGGCAGUGGAUCUGGGAGUGACUUCACUCUGACCAUCAGUGGAGUCCUGGCUGAAGAUGCAGGAGAUUACUACUGUCAGAGUUACGACAGUGGUGGAGUAUUCACACAGUGAUACAGAGAUGUACAAAAACCUCCCUCAGUCAGACUGCACAGUGACUGUACUGCUACAACUGGGACCUACUGCAGGUGCUGAGGGGGAAGACAGUGACAUGGAACACUGAUCAGUAGGGGAGGUAAAGUUUGAAAACAGAAAGAAUCAUACGUUCUCCAACAUUGUCAUCAUCAUCGUCAUCAUCAUCAUCAUUGUUGUAACUUGUUAUAUUGGACAUGAACUGAAAGUGUAUAUAAAGUUAUUUGUAGUUUUGGAAGACAARACCAGUCCAGAUGUAGAGUAAGAUGUACAGAAGUAAAAAGAAAAGUAUCAGCCCCCCAAACCAAUUCCCUACAUGCACUUCACCACCAGUUAUUGAUGUGAUCAUCUAGCAUGUAUUAACCCUUUUCAUGAGCUGUUAGAUCUGUGAAUGAGACAUGAUGCUGGGCUCAAACAUGACACAUUUAUGUAGAGACAUACACUACACACCAUUAUCAUAAAGUAUAAUAUCUGUUUUAUCUGUCAUUAAUUACAUGGUGGUAUAUCUGUAAUGUCUCCUGCCCUGAAUCCACCAUCAAUGUUAAAAACCAGUCCACUCCCUCACAUCUGACCCAGUCCAGGGAACAGUGAAACAGGUCAACUGCAAGACUGAUAGCUGUGGGAUUGAAACAGAUUUGCAUAGACAGGGCUGGUUGGUUCUGCUUGUCCCAAAACAAAGCUGCACUAUGACCAGAUGUUCACCCUGUUCCCAGGGGUUUGGAGGUAGAGAAGACCAGGGAAAAUAUAAUGGAGAAGUGUUGACCACACAUUGUUGAAAACCAUUGAAAAAACAUCUAAUUUAAUAAAAACAUAUUAGGAAUUAAUCAUGAUAAAUAUAUGUGUUAUGGAAAGCAACCUUUGAGCAGUGUGUGUUAUGAUUUUAUUAUUGGUACAUAAAGUUGGUGGUAUGUGAACAACUCUCAAACUUUGGUGACUGCCCUCCACUAAUCUGUCCACAGACAUUAUUAAAAAGAAACAGCCUGAAAGUCUUA